UACGAAGGUGGCAAGCGUUGUUCGGAUUUACUGGGCGUACAGGGAGCGUAGGCGGUUGGAUAAGCCCUCCGUGAAAUCUCCAGGCUUAACCUGGAAAGUGCAGAGGGGACUGUUCAGCUAGAGGAUGGGAGAGGAGCGCGGAAUUCCCGGUGUAGCGGUGAAAUGCGUAGAGAUCGGGAGGAAGGCCGGUGGCGAAGGCGGCGCUCUGGAACAUUUCUGACGCUGAGGCUCGAAAGCGUGGGGAGCAAACAGGG
rnacentral:rRNA from 1 species